GAAUAGUGUCAAUGUAGAAUAGUGUGAAUGUAGAAUAGUGUGAAUUCUACAUUGACACUAUUCUUAUUUCACAAAAUUCUACAUUCACACUAUUCCACAUUGACACUAU
rnacentral:pre_miRNA from 1 species